rnacentral:rRNA from 1 species
AGAGUUUGAUCAUGGCUCAGAUUGAACGCUGGCGGCAGGCCUAACACAUGCAAGUCGAGCGGUAGCACAGAGAGCUUGCUCUCGGGUGACGAGCGGCGGACGGGUGAGUAAUGUCUGGGAAACUGCCUGAUGGAGGGGGAUAACUACUGGAAACGGUAGCUAAUACCGCAUAAUGUCGCAAGACCAAAGUGGGGGACCUUCGGGCCUCAUGCCAUCAGAUGUGCCCAGAUGGGAUUAGCUAGUAGGUGGGGUAACGGCUCACCUAGGCGACGAUCCCUAGCUGGUCUGAGAGGAUGACCAGCCACACUGGAACUGAGACACGGUCCAGACUCCUACGGGAGGCAGCAGUGGGGAAUAUUGCACAAUGGGCGCAAGCCUGAUGCAGCCAUGCCGCGUGUGUGAAGAAGGCCUUCGGGUUGUAAAGCACUUUCAGCGGGGAGGAAGGCGGUGAGGUUAAUAACCUCAUCGAUUGACGUUACCCGCAGAAGAAGCACCGGCUAACUCCGUGCCAGCAGCCGCGGUAAUACGGAGGGUGCAAGCGUUAAUCGGAAUUACUGGGCGUAAAGCGCACGCAGGCGGUCUGUCAAGUCGGAUGUGAAAUCCCCGGGCUUAACCUGGGAACUGCAUUCGAAACUGGCAGGCUAGAGUCUUGUAGAGGGGGGUAGAAUUCCAGGUGUAGCGGUGAAAUGCGUAGAGAUCUGGAGGAAUACCGGUGGCGAAGGCGGCCCCCUGGACAAAGACUGACGCUCAGGUGCGAAAGCGUGGGGAGCAAACAGGAUUAGAUACCCUGGUAGUCCACGCCGUAAACGAUGUCGAUUUGGAGGUUGUGCCCUUGAGGCGUGGCUUCCGGAGCUAACGCGUUAAAUCGACCGCCUGGGGAGUACGGCCGCAAGGUUAAAACUCAAAUGAAUUGACGGGGGCCCGCACAAGCGGUGGAGCAUGUGGUUUAAUUCGAUGCAACGCGAAGAACCUUACCUGGUCUUGACAUCCACAGAACUUUCCAGAGAUGGAUUGGUGCCUUCGGGAACUGUGAGACAGGUGCUGCAUGGCUGUCGUCAGCUCGUGUUGUGAAAUGUUGGGUUAAGUCCCGCAACGAGCGCAACCCUUAUCCUUUGUUGCCAGCGGUUCGGCCGGGAACUCAAAGGAGACUGCCAGUGAUAAACUGGAGGAAGGUGGGGAUGACGUCAAGUCAUCAUGGCCCUUACGACCAGGGCUACACACGUGCUACAAUGGCAUAUACAAAGAGAAGCGACCUCGCGAGAGCAAGCGGACCUCAUAAAGUAUGUCGUAGUCCGGAUUGGAGUCUGCAACUCGACUCCAUGAAGUCGGAAUCGCUAGUAAUCGUAGAUCAGAAUGCUACGGUGAAUACGUUCCCGGGCCUUGUACACACCGCCCGUCACACCAUGGGAGUGGGUUGCAAAAGAAGUAGGUAGCUUAACCUUCGGGAGGGCGCUUACCACUUUGUGAUUCAUGACUGGGGUGAAGUCGUAACAAGGUAACCGUAGGGGAACCUGCGGUUGGAUCACCU